UGUCUCUACCUUAUCCUGCACUAUAUCCAUCAACUUUGACCCUCACCGAGUGUCUCGCGGCUGUUCAAGGCGCCCGGCGGCUGGCCGCACGAGUCGAAACCAGCUGAUCGGACGGAGGGAGGGAUGAAAAAAGAGAAGGACUUUCGUCUAGCUCACUUGUGCUCUCUAACCGUUCGCCCGUUUCCUUUCAUUCAGAAUCUAAAUCUCUUCAAGACGAGACA
ensembl:ncRNA M60.9 ncRNA